ACAUGUAAAUAAUAAAAUCUUUUAGAUCAAAUCUAAAUUUUUUAUGAUUUUAAAUCAAAAUAAUUUUUGAUUUAAAUAAGAUUAGAUGUAACUAACUUCUUCACAACUUGCAUUACGUACAACAACACCUAGGAUUUCAAGAUCUAGGAUUUUGCAAGAAAGUAAAUUUUUUCUUUUUGCUUUCUUCUUUAUGGGAUCUUACAAUAGCACCCC
rnacentral:lncRNA from 1 species